rnacentral:misc_RNA from 1 species
UAAGCGGGCAGUCAGUGAGCUGUAUUGUCCAUAAAAACUUUCUCUAGUGACAAAAAGUGAACGGAGCUUUCAACUUCACAAAUCCUCUCGUUAAAAAAGUAUUAUGAAUUAGUGCUGGGAAAAUCUUUCCGAUAACAUCAGUUACAGUGCUUAUCAAAAUAAGUUUUGUUUAUCAAGACCACAGGAAUAUUUCUGUGUUGGAUAAUCGAGCAUCGUAUUCCUAAAUUUUCUGUUUUUUUUUCUAUAAUGGAAAACGUUGAAAACCCUUAUGGUAUCAGAUAAUAUGGUAUCUCUCCCGUAAUAUCCAAAUCCAAAUCCAUCGGUAUUGUAUGCAAAAUUCAUUAACAUAAAGUUCAAACAUACAUUAUUUAUUUAAUUAUUUAUUAGGUCAGCACAAACAAUACAAAGGAAAAAAACAGGCUAUUGCCUAAAACUUCUCCAAUUUCCCAAAUUAGUUUCAAAUUGUCCAAAUAAAAAUUAGUAUGUUAGUCUAUUUUGUGAUAACUACUGAUAGUGAACUAUUAAAAAUAUGUUAUAAAAUUUAUUUUUGUGCUAUAAAGUGUGCAUCAACAUAGAAGUGAAGUGGACUUUCUAUCACUUAUUCAACUUGCAUUGAAUAUUGAAAAAUUGGAAUGAACUGUAGGUGCAGGGCUCCAAUAUUGUAUCUUUACAAAUAGAGAAUCUAUUUAAGCUCGCAAACACAAUCAGAACAAAAUGGACUUAACCAGCGGUGAACAAUAAAUUGAUACAAUGUGUUGAACUUUAAGUGCAGUGUCUCAAUGUUGUGCCUGUACGAGUAGAUGCCUCGCGAAUUUAUUUGUGCUCACCGACUCAAUUUGGACUGGAAUCUAUAUUAUAAUCUAACCUAAUAGUUAUUUUAAAACGUCAGCAGCAACAUAUUAGGCUACUUGAAACGAUAGGUUGAUUUAAACGACAGAUUACGUUUAACUACAGGUUACAGAAACGAAACAUAACUUUCUACAAGAGAUCAUAUCAAACGACAGAUUACGUUAACGACAGGUUACAGAAACGAAACAUCACUUUAAACGAAAGAUCACUUCAAACGACAGAUUCAUUUAAACGACGGAUUCCUUUCAACGACACAUUAUUAAAAACGACGGAUUACUUUAAACUACAGAUUAUUUCAAACGAUUGAAUACUUUGAACGUCGGAUUAUUUAAAACGACAGUAGAUUGAGAGUUAAAUCGUAAUGUUGAUGGAGUGAGCAACCGCGUUGCAACAUGUUGAACCUCUAUAAGACAAUGUCGCGCCAACAAGGUGCGGCUGCCUCCGAGCAUCACACGGGCCACGACCGUUUCGCCCAAAGCCCGGCGAGCGAGCACCGCCCCCGGAGGCGGCGAGCCCGUCCGCCGGCCGCGCGUCGCGCGCACUCCGCCCUCGAACUGAAUCCGCGCGCGUUGGCAGUCGCGCGUCAGUCGCUGCAGCGCUCCGCCAGCACUGAGUCGCAGCCUGAAGACGACUCCAAGCCGCUGCUCAAUCGCCUAUUCUCCUGCGUUACCAUCUCCUCGGUAGGAAACGACCAGCAGUCGCCCAACAGGCAUGUGGGAAGAUACGAGUACACCGCCCUGGAGGCAGAGAACAGUGUUCACGAGCGGCUUGAGUUGGAGAGGAAGGCGAGAGCGCAGGCGCAGUCAGCAUGCUUGCAUUACCUGCGUUGCUGUCCGCGCUACUCACUCCUGCACCACCUCAAUGAUAUCGGCUCACGCGUGGACAAACAGUGGUUCGUGGUGCGAGACGUGUCGGUGAAGACAGAGCGACUACUGACGCUGGUGCCGCGUAGCUCCAACUGCCCGAUCGCGUGCGACGCCGAGACGCGCACCACCAUCCUCGACCUCUUCCUCGCCCUGCAGCACCCCUACAUCUAUCCCAUCCUCGACCUCGAGUUCCAGGAGGCCAGCACCACCUCCAGCGACACCUACAUCAUCCUCGUGCUGCCCUUCAACAACAAGGGCAGCUUGAAAGAUCUCAUCUACCAGAGCUCUUGGCAAGAUGACUGGUGUGAAAAAUACAGUCAACGAACUGAAGGUCUUCCUACUUCGCAAGUUCAACGUCUGGGAAGGCAAAUACUAGAAGCCCUGUUGUUCCUGAAAGAGAGAGGCUUCCCGUCUUGCACGCAUCUUCAUUCUGGCAAUGUUAUUCUUCAAAAUGGAGUAGCAAGAUUGAGUGGGUUGGAGAACACACUGUUUGGUUUUACUUCUCGAAUCCAUCCAGUUAUUUGGUCACUAGCUAAAGCAGAUCCUGCAGCAAUAGAUAUUAUAUGCUUCGGUCACAUCCUAUUCGAAAUGUGCGCCGGCUACGAGUUGAAAACUCAAAAACCUAGUCCUGCCAAUUAUUUAGAUAUUGAUAAUUACCCACAGGUUGUUGAAGUACUCGAGUUUAUUUUUCAAAAUCCAAAAUGUCGCUUUCCGUCCAUUGAAGAGCUUCUUGUACACGACUUUUUUCGAAAUAUUGAUCUGAGAGAGAUGAGAGCGUCAUCACUUUCGCAAGUUUAUCAUGCCAGACUUACGACUUCUGCAAUAACAUUACUGAACUCUGUGAAACAGUUCCAGGUUAAGAAAAGCAAAAUGCGUAGAAAUCACUCGACUCCAGCUGAACCCCCUUCCCCGCCACCCAGAGGCGAUCAGAGACCAAAAGACUCUAACCGUGGAGAGUGGCUGGCUUGAAAGUGAAGCAACAGAGGAGCAGCAACUUGAAAAAGACAGUUUUGAGGAGCAAGACAUUGGUCUAUUAGAAGACAAUGACAAUGGAAAUAACAUUGUAACAACUGAAGACAAUGGGGAUAUGGAUGGAGAAAAUUUCGAUAGCUCUCAGGAGCACAGAAACCUAUCUUUGCACAUCCAACCAAUAGCAAAUCCUCUGACGUUGGAAACAUCAAGUCUAUUGAGAUAACGCCUAGUUAAUUCUCGGUGCUGUGGGCAAGAGCAAUCGAUCUCCAGAGACAUGUGCAGAACAUCACCUACAUAAGCAAUAAUGGCUGCCAUCAAAAGCACUGUCAAACUUUAUCUUCCUUGGAAAUAAAUAGGAAAAUAUCCACAGCUCUGAGGAGACUUAUCUUUAUUCUCAAUUCAAAAAAAAAAUCGGAGUCCCCGUUGUAGUAUAUAGGAUGUGGCUUGCUUUAUAUAUAUACUAUUCGAAAAUAGCAAUCUGAUCUUGAAAGCUGAUGUCUUGCUGCCAUGGCUCAAAAUCGAGUGUAGGCACUAUCUCCUUCACCCUUAGACUACCAAAUAGGGUCUAUGAAGCUUGUCCCAUCAAAUACCAAAUAAUCAAUUUUACCAUUGGGAUAAUGUGUCCCUAUACAAAAACCAUGAUAAAAUGAAUAAAAUUUAGUAAAUAGCUCUGGAAUUUCAAUUUCACAUGUUAUUAUUGACAUUAUAUAUGAAGUAUUUACUCACUUUCAACUCAAAAUGACACUGCAAAUCACAUUAGAACAGCUUCAUUCAGCACAAAACCAGCAUGUGACACAUGCAUGCAUGAGAGCACAUAACCUCAAUUCACAAUAAUAUGGCGAUCAGAUAGUUCUAAACAGCUGAUGUAUUUCACAGAAUAGACCCUAGACUACCACUGGGAUUCAUUGCUGUAUAGUUUAGAAGAUCUAUUCACCCACUGGGAUUCGAUGAACUUCUAUUGGGACGUAUUGUCCCAGUUGUAGUGUGAGGUUGGUCAUUUAUGCUGGGACAUAUUGUCCCGUUGGUAGUCCAAGGGUGAAACAAAGUGCAUAUGACAGGUGGUUGAUGGUAACGUCAGCACAGGCAGGGCUUCUGCACCAAUAAAAACACUACCUAUAGCUCACAUGGGUCAGCUGAAAUCAACAAAUUUUUAUUGUUGUAGAAGCUCUAUAUUAUGUGUUGACGUUACCAGAAUGCACUAAGGCUUUGUUUACGGAGGUAGUGAUGUAGGCCUAGGCCAAAGUUAGUAGGCGGCCUAUAUAAUUGGCAUUCUCCUUGCACAGCAUUUCUCAGCUGCAUCAUCUGCUGAUCAGUGUCAACUGUCCUGCUGCUCCAUAAAAAGUAGGUAUGCAAGCGGUAUCACAAAUAUCAAACUCUAUCUCCCACUACAGUGAUAUCAAUAUUACUAUUCAAAUUGAGAGAUGUAUUUAUUUAAUACAGUAGAUGUGUUAAAGCAUUUGAAGGCUGGAGCAGCAUUUUUGGCACCUUGAAUUAUCAUACAGCUCUGCUGAGUUGUAGUUUGCAUCACAUGGAAAUGCAACUGAAAAAUGAUUGUGUGCUAUGGCAGCUUCAACUGUCCAGAUCAGAAUGCUAACUCGAUGUCGAUUGCUCAUCAAAUAUGACAUGACAAAGCAAGAAGUAAUACCAUCACAUCAUCUUGUAUGUCUCCUAUUGUUUUUAAUGGAUGUACUAACCCCUACUGCCAAUACUUUUUUGUGGUUGGAAACAUUAUCAACACAGAAAUUUCAUUCAAACCAAUAGGCUACAUCAUAAGACAUUGCAAGAGAUGCUUCAAGUUUUGCUACAGCUUGGUUAUCUCACAUUUGAUGUGCAUUCAACCUUGAAGAGGUUCUAAUAGAAGCUUUUGUUGUGCAAAUUAGGCCUACUAAGGACAAGGUAUAAGCUUCAGUGAGCUAUAUAAGUUCUGAAAAUUCUACCAUCUUCUCCCUCAUGAAAAUAAUGUAAUUAAACAAAACUAUUGUGAGAGAAUUUUUGUGCAUUGCCUGAACAUUGAUUUAGAGUGUGAAAUAUAUGAAUAUUAUUCGAAAAAGUGUGUUAUGUUAAGAGACAAUCUGCCAAUCAAUUGUUAGUUCUACAUACUCCUUUUUUAAAAAAGUGUUAUUUGUGGAACUGUAUAAUAUUACCUGUUUAAUUAUCUUAAUUUACGGCACUAGAUAAUAAUAAAUAGUAUUCCAUUUAAUGAUGGAUAGAAUUGUUUUACAGUUGAUACAACAAUUGAUUGAAAAUGAGAAUAGUUAUUUUUAUAGGUGUGGUUCAUUUAUAUUACAACAUUUUCCAUUGAUUUUAAAAACACUUCAAACGAUUUUUCUUUGUAUUUUGACAAUUAGGUCAAUCAAAAUAAUUUGAUGAUUUUCUGAUAUCUAGAAUCAGAAAAUGUUAAUAUUUUAACUAGCUAUGAAUAAUAAAUUAUUGAUGAAAAAUCAUCCAAGUGAUUUGAUCAGUAUCAAGUGGCAAAACAUCUACUCUUUUAUUAAGGCCUAAGUUAAAUUAGGAGACCAGGCUUGGAUAUCAUGCUGUGCUGUCUGCUUGUAAAGCCAGAUGGGACACCAGUGGUGUCCAGGUACCAAAAUGUAGUUUCUUGGCUGGUGUCUCUAGUGUAAUUAGUAGCAUAGGAACUUAUAGUGCUCAGUGAGUCGCUUGGACUCUCAUUGGUGUCUCAGCCUGCGAGCCUGGUAUCCUAAGGUCAUAAGGGUCUAGGAAUUUUUUUUAUAUUUAGAACUUCUCUGAUCUUCUAGAAUAACUAGCAAAAGAAGAAGGUAGGAUUGUACAAGCUGUGUCUGUCAGUAAAACCUCCGCUGAAUCCCCAUAGAUAAAACUUAUUAUGUGAUAUAGAUAAUUUUACUCAGCACUUCAAGGCACUACAAAAUAUUUCAUAUACAGUACUGUUAAUAUUGAGAAUUAUUAGACAUUUCAUUCUAAACAAACAAAACAUCUUAACAAAUUUCAAUCGAUGAUGUUAAGUAGAAUUUGUAAAAUGUAGUAGGUACCGGUAGGCUUAAUACAACUGAUUAACAAAAUGAGAACCCCUGUACAAGUCCAUUCAAGAUUGCAACGCAAAGUGAAGCUUGUCUAGAUACGUUUAAAUAGUUGCUGCUUCCAAAAAAUAACCAUUAAUAAAUUAAAGUGAAAAAUUCCACUAGCUGAAUAAAUUUAAAUGGUAACAUUUAACAAAUUAUUAACAAAUAUUUUAUUUUAUUUUAUUUUACAAAUUGUUAACAAAUAUUAUUAUUAACAAAUAAUUUAACAUUUAACAAAUUGCCCAGUAUUAAGUUCUCCUUCUAUUUCUAACUAAAAAUGUGUGAACCUGUAAAAAUGCAGUUCUGGAACCAGUUUUUCAUAGAUUUGUAAUACGAUAAACUCCAAUAAAAACCAUUAAUAAACAAAAAAACUGGUGAGCAAUACAAUUUAGUGGAAUCUGUUUUGCUUUCAUCUAGCAUAGUCUCUCUGUUUAGUAGUUUGGAUGCUGAAUGAUAUUUAGUGAAUAUUAUUCACGGUUCUCUAUUUUCAAUGAUACAUGAAAAUAAUUUCACAGAUCUUAUCCAUUACAUUUGUACUCUUCAACAAUUUGUUACCUUUUAAAAAAAAAAUUGUUGAUAUAUCAAUAAAAUUUUCGAUGUUACGACUAUAUGUUUAUAAAGUUCAUACAUAUUUUUUUUUUUAAUGAUAGAAUCAAUCAUCAUACGAAUUGUUCCAUUAUUUACUUAACAGGGAAGUAUAGGAUACUAUUAUAUGAUUAUUAUUUAUCACUACAGAAUUUAUAUCGUAUCUUAAAAUAUAAGAGACGAUAAGACUGUGUUUGUACAUUGUAAGGAUAUGGCCAAGAUCAGAAUUUGAUGUCUUGAUUUUCAAUUUCAAUUUUAUUUCCAAUUUUUUGUCUUGCCUAUUAUCAUAGAGAAACAAUAGCCUAAGUAGAUAUCCAAUGGUAUAGGGCGUUUAUGUUGCAACUUUUAAACUGUUAUCUCAAGCUGAUAGUCAACGUAGUUCUUUCCCGUGACGCUGGUGGUCUCUCAUAUUGUGCCGUUCAUACACUCUCACCCCAACAAAAAAUUGAAAAUCGACAAUAAUCGGCUUGAGAUAACAGUAAAAGUUGCGACAUAAACGCCCUAUACCAUGGGAUAUCUACUUACGCUACCUAUAAUUGUUUCUCUAUGCUCUGUAGUUGGAUUCAUGGUUCUGAAUCAGAGAGAGUUGCUGUUUCAAAUCCUCUGCUGAAUAUAUACUCAAAUUUUUCUCCUUAGAAUUUUCAACAUCGAUAACUCUCCUUUUGAUUUUGUCAAAAUAAUGUAUUAUUAGCCUAUUCCAUUUUCAAUUAUUAAUCUCUCUAUACGGUAGUAUAUUUUUGCAGUUAAUAGGAUAAUAUGCAGCUUAUUUUCAGCAGAGAACUAUAAAACUAUAAUGUAUUUUAUUCUUGUGUUUUUGACAGACCCUUCUGGAGUAGGUACACAUCACAUCUGCUCUCUGCUCAUACAUUGCAGAAAUCUAUUCAUAAAAUGUGAUAAUAUUGUCACUUAAAAUGAUGAAUUCUUUUUUAGAAAUGAAAUAUGUAUGAACUAUAUUAUUGGAUAUGAUAUAUUAUAUAGCUGUAGGCUAUACUUAUGUAAACCUAGAUAUAUAUUUUUGUAUUGGAUUCAUUUGAAAUGGAAUAUCAUGUCUGGAUGUACGUUCUCUUACAUGUUGUGGUGUGGUACCGUACUCACCAUAAUAUAAUAUACUUCUGCACUCUCAAAUAUUAUUCAUGAGAAAAAGAGGUUGAUAUUUAUAGGGUUUAUCAGUAUGAACACAAGAAGCACAAACAUUUUCAUUAACUAUGGAGUGUUUCCAAAUUAUAUAGCCUACUUGAUCUAUGAUGUCCACCUAGCAAAUAUUUCAAAAACUGAACGAUUAAUAUUAUGAAUAAAAAAUAUAAAAAUUCCAUAGAUAUGCUCCAAUUUUGAAUCUUCUCAUAGAGUGCCUCUUCUCUCAAGUAUCAUCAAUAAUAACUAUUAUUAUGGGUUUCCAUAAUUCAAUUUCCAAUUUUCCAUUUAUUUAUAAUAAUCCAUAAAGCUUUCACAAUUUAUAGCCUAAAUAUAUUAAGAGAAUAAAAAUUGACUAAUUGCAUUUUUAUAUCUGCCAUUUCAACAUAUUUUUAGUAUAUUUUGAUAGAUCUCUAAAUAACAAUGCCUAACAUAGAACCCGAGCUGAAUAAUUAGUUACGGUAUGUCGGGCCUGAAGCAUAGCUUUCUAUAAUUGUAUAACUAAAAAAUAUCAGUUUACAAUUUUCAUGAGGAUGAAAAAUAAGAGUAUAAUCGAUUGCAUGGCUUCAGCACUAGUCUAGUAUAAUAAAUUGUAUCAAACAAUAAACAAAAGUUUUUCACAUGGAUAUCAUAAAUACAGUCACUAGUCCUACAAGUGAUUUGAUUCUCUUUGAUCAAAGGAAACUAAAGUGUAAUUGUGUUGCAUAAAACAAAAGUAGCAAGUAACCCUGCAGAAAUGAAUUUACAUGAAUAAUAACACAAUUUAUUGAAUUGAUAUUCUAAUUUUUUACUGUUCAAUGAUACGCUCUGAAUUAUAGUUUUCAAAUAAUAUUUUAAGUGAUGUGUUACCACACAAAAAGGUCUGUAAAUUUGAAUUCAAAACAAUGCCUAAGCUAUACUGAAUUAAUGAAAAGAUGAGAGGAUAAUUUAUCACCACUAAUCAAUUAUUACUCUUUACAUGAAUGAUGUCAACAUGAACUUCAACUGAAUGGAUGUUAAGGAACUUCUAGAAAAACCAAAGAACAAUCCUACAUUCCAAGAAUAAUGAAAUCAUCACUGCUCCUUGCAACUGAAGCAAACUGCUACCAUAGAGAAACAAUAGCGUAAGUAAAUAUCCCAUGGUAUAGGGAAUUUAUGUCGCAACUUUUACUGUUAUCUCAAGCCGAUUACUGUCGAUUAUUGUCAAUUUUUACUGUUUUGUCGGGGUGAUAUAGUGUAUGAACGGCACAAUUUGAGAGACUACCAGCGUCACACAGCUGCAUAGGGGAGAACUUUGUGAACUAUCGGCUUGGGAUAACAGUAAAACUUGCGACAUAAACGCCCUAUACCAUGGGAUAUCUAUGCUAUCGUUUCUCUAUGCUGCUACCUACUAAAUAAUAUCAACAAUGUGACAUAGUUGUAUGAUUUUCCUAAUUUUUUAUCAUGAGUCGAUCAUUGUAAUAAGUGGGUAGUGAAAUUAAAAAAGCUAUGCAACAGGUUUGUCUUGAUGUAUAUAUUUAUCAAUGUUUGUUUCCAUUACAAACUGCUUGUUAAUAAUCACUUUUGAACAACUAAAUUACGACAUAGCAGUCAGGUAUUCAUAAAUAGAAGCUAUUAGCUUCUACCACAGAGGAAAGAAGCACUGGUAUCACAGAGGAAAAAAGCACUGGUAUCACAGAGGAAAGAAGCACUACUGGUAUGCUUAUUCCGUGCUUCUACUCACAUUUGUGUAGUGCUUUCGGACACUAGGCCCUUCAUCAACACUGUUAGCCUAGUGUGAGAAAGCUCUCCACAAAUGUGAGUAGAAGCUAAUAGCUUUUAUUUAUAAAUACCAGUACCUGACUGCUAUGUCGUAAUUUAGAUGUCCGAAUAUGAUGUAUAUAUUUAUCAUGAAAUGAUGCAAAAUGCAGGAAAAAUUAUUGGCAUUGAAAUAAUCAAGGAAAAUAUGUUAUUUUAACUUCCAAAAUAUGAACAUUUUUCUAUAAAAAAUAUGUAUUAAAGAUGCAUUGAAAUUAU